CCAGACUCCUACGGGAGGCAGCAGUGGGGAAUAUUGGACAAUGGGGGCAACCCUGAUCCAGCAAUUCUGUGUGCACGAAGAAGGUUUUCGGAUUGUAAAGUGCUUUCAGCAGGGAAGAAGGAAGUGACGGUACCUGCAGAAGAAGCGACGGCUAAAUACGUGCCAGCAGCCGCGGUAAUACGUAUGUCACAAGCGUUAUCCGGAUUUAUUGGGCGUAAAGCGCGUCUAGGUGGUUAUGUAAGUCUGAUGUGAAAAUGCAGGGCUCAACUCUGUAUUGCGUUGGAAACUGUGUAACUAGAGUACUGGAGAGGUAAGCGGAACUACAAGUGUAGAGGUGAAAUUCGUAGAUAUUUGUAGGAAUGCCGAUGGGGAAGCCAGCUUACUGGACAGAUACUGACGCUGAAGCGCGAAAGCGUGGGUAGCAAACAGGAUUAGAUACCCUGGUAGUCCACGCCGUAAACGAUGAUUACUAGGUGUUGGGGGUCGAACCUCAGCGCCCAAGCAAACGCGAUAAGUAAUCCGCCUGGGGAGUACGUACGCAAGUAUGAAACUCAAAGGAAUUGACGGGGGCCCGCACAAG
rnacentral:rRNA from 1 species